rnacentral:rRNA from 1 species
AACGAACGCUGGCGGCGUGCCUAACACAUGCAAGUCGGACGGGCUUGAGGGGCAACUCUCAAGUCAGUGGCGAACGGGUGCGUAACACGUGAGCAACCUGCCCUCAGGUGGGGGAUAGCCGGCCCAACGGCCGGGUAAUACCGCAUACCGCCCCGAGGUUUCAUGACCAUGGGGUAAAAGCAGCCGCAAGGUUGCGCCGGGAGAGGGGCUCGCGGCCUAUCAGCUAGUUGGUGGGGAACGGCUCACCAAGGCGACGACGGGUAGCUGGUCUGAGAGGAUGGCCAGCCACAUUGGGACUGAGAAACGGCCCAGACUCCUACGGGAGGCAGCAGUGGGGAAUAUUGCGCAAUGGCCGCAAGGCUGACGCAGCGACGCCGCGUGUGGGAUGAAGGCCU